GCAUACUUUUUCUGCUUCCCUUCCUCGGAGCUCCUCCCUCAUCUUGCUUUUCCUCUGUUUACUCUGGAAGAAUUGUGGUAACCGACCACAAGGUCUUCUGGAGGGCCGGCCCCAUGCCGAAGAAAGGCAGGAAGCCGCGGUGCCUCUGCGCGGAGCCAGGGUGAGGGACUCAGAACUCCUGCUGCUCUUUGGACUUCCCAUUGCUGUUUUCGGAGCCAUGAAGAACUCCUAAGGAAUCCUGGUGAUACACUGAAACCGGUUUGGAAACCCACUAAGAGAGCCUAGGCUAACAUCGCCAACAGACCCAUCCAUGGCCAUGCCGGGGUUUUAUAUCCGCAAUGCUCAUUAUGCCAGCCACUGCAAGGCCUCCUCUCUCCCCCACCCCCACCCCCCCGCCUCUCCUUUCAAGGAAGUUACCAAAGCAAAUCAGCAAGAUAUAUGAGAUGUCUUGUGCACCAUAGAAGGAAAUCACUCUAUAAAUUCUUGAGCUUCUCACUGUUAUACACAAAACUCGAGCAUCCCAGAAAGUAAAAUAGUUAAAAUUAGCAUCUUGCCUACUUCAUAUCAGAAAAAUUAAUACACUUCUUCUGACCAGGAAGCUAUGCUGGGUUCCAUUCUACCUGGGAAUGCCAUAUUGAAGUCAUGCUUUCGCUAUUAUUUAAAAGGAAAAAAAUAAUAAUUCAAAAUGACAGAAGUCAUCUGUAUCUGCUAGAAAUAAGUAAGAGCCCUGGACUUUAAAUAAUGUGAUUAUAAAGUAUUUGGGUGUGAAAUGCCAUUUAAUGCGGUGGAAAUCUUCAAGGAAGUAAACUGGAUAUUGAAUUUCAGGAAAACUCAAAUCUUCCCAUGAAUCAUUUUUGUUGUAUAUGUUUAUUUAUUUUGCCUUGAAUAGUAACUAUAGAAAUGACAUUCUGCCCUGUUGUAUUCAAAAAUAAAACUAUUUAAAAAAAUCACAGCUUCAGGCACAUCGGCAUAAUAGCCAUGUAAGCUAUGGACACAUACGCAUGAACCCGUAGGAUAUUGAGGUAUAAAUUAGCAUAAGGCAGCGUAGUAGAAUCAGUCACUUCUUCCUUUGCCCCCAGACAUGCUUCUGUAUAUGGCUCCACCAUAGCACUUGACACCUAGGUGAGGCGCCCUUGAAGAACAGAGCCAUGUCUUGUUUAUCUCUGGAUUCCGGGCACAGAGCCCAGCACAUGGUGACUGAUUGUGAAGAUAAAGCCGCACUGAGCAAUCCUCGGGCCCUGAGAACCAGCACUCCCGGUUCCCUCCCUGUCUUCCCAAAUCUUAGUUUGUACACAUGAUGGAUACUGACCUGGAGAUACGUGUUCUAAGUUAUAAAUAAGGCUCAAUACAAAAUGUUAUAACCUAGGAUUCCAUCUCACCAGUUGGGAAACAGAAAAUGGCAGUCCAUUUUCUUCCCCAGCCAUGAAACACGGGACACUCACUUUGCCUGUUUAGUUUAUAACACCGGAAAGAACAUCCCUUGCUUACUCAAGCCACCUGAUGUCCAUCAGCAUUGCCUGCCUGCACAUCCUAGAUGUGGUCUAGAAGCAUCCUGAGUAUCUCUAUCUAGUUGGAAAUCCAUAUUAACUUGUGCGACCUUUGAGAGUGGGUGAAAUACUUGUUCUUUCAGAAGAAAAGAAUCACCUGAAGAGACGGCAUGGGAAGAGAGUUCCCGUGUCGGCUGCCCUAGGAUACAGCAUUGACGCUGAAGACGUUUCAGCUCAGGAACCUCAAAAAGCUGGGUUGUCAGAGAUGCUCAGCAGGAAAAUGUUGCUGGAUUGGACCAAUCAGAUGUCCACAAAGUAGCAGAUGAGCCAGACAUUUUGCUGGCACUUCAGACUCAGGAACUCAUGUGAUCAUAACUGUGUUCUUCAAGACUCUUACCAUCAUAUGGAGGAAAAAUAAAUGAAACCAAAAAGAAACUUCGAGGACUUUCAGUUGGAAAGUUAACAUUCCAGGUUGCCGUCCUUCCCAAGGAUGCUGAUAAGCUGAUUUACUGCCUACUCUCCCGGCUUAAAUCAGUGAGGAACAUCAAGUCCAGAGACUAGAUAUUUUCAGACACAAAUUUACUAUUGCAGAGAGCUACGCUACAAGCAGCCAAGGUUUUGAUGCCCCCACUGUUAAUAGAACCCCUUGAGUCCCUGGAACUUUCACAGGCAUAUCAUCCAAAAAGCAAUUUCUCAACCCUCGGGACUGAGUACCGUGAGGCCCUAACCCAGGCUUCUCCUCCAGGUAGCUUCUCUUCGUGUGUGUUUUGCAGACACUUCGGCCUCCUUUGCUCUUGUAGCACCCUGGGGACAUGCCCCAUCAUCACUCAGUGCUUCAGAGUCUACAGGGAAUCCCUGGCGAAGGCAAGCCUUUUCAAGAAAUACAGCCAGAAUGUCUACACACUUGACAUUUUGAAGAGAAAUUACAUUACUACUUUUAAAACAAAAUUUGAGAAUUGCCAAUUAUUUCCAUGAUGUCAACCUGAAAGAUGACAAACAUAAGAUGAUUUCAUAUAAAUAACAGCAAAUGCAGCUUCAUAAAAAGAUCGUUAAAGAGAAUUCCUUGACAAAGGUGUGGGAUGAUGGGUAAUACAGAUAUCAGCCUGAGUUGAUUAUUAUACAACAUAUAAAUGCACAGAAAAACUGUAUUGUACCCUACAAAGCUGUAUUACUAUAUGCUAAAGAUAUGGAUUUCUGUACUUCUGAAAUGAUUCACAUCAAAGCUCUUUUAUCUUAAAUUCUAUAAUUUUAUUUAUCUGCUUCAACUAAAGUUAUGCAAGUUGAGGCAGGAACAGGAAGUCCUACCAAGAUUUGACCAACUUCACUGAACAACUAAAGAAAGAACUUGACUUGGCAAAAGUCUCAAGUAAUACAAGAAAUUAAGACCGAAUUUAUGCAGAUCUCAGUAUCUGUGAUACUUUUCUCCAAAUUGAAACCAUUUUUUUGGUUUUGGGUUUAACUGUUGUUGGUAUCUUGGCUCUUCUGGGCACAAUGAUUGCAGCUUUAUUUUAGUUCAAUUUCUGUUUACAACAAAUAAAAAUCAAUGAAUGAUGAUGAUCAAAGGGAUGCUAAAGAAUGGGGUUUACUCACACAAAAGCACUAAUUAGCAAUGCUCCCUAGUCCAUUCCAAGUGCAGUUCACACUAUGAUGCAAUUAAAACAGGAAUGGCAGGCAACUACAGUGACUGAGAGCAGGAAAAAUGGUCUUCCUCAAGGCAGAGCUCCCCAUAACGGGCUAUACAAUGCCAAGUGGCCAGCCCUGAAUCAUAUACGCAUAAGUAUAUGAUUCAUAUACACACUAUGCAACCGAACAGGUUGAAUUUAUAAAUUUAAGAAUGUGUGUGUGUGUGUGUGUGUGUGUGUGUGUGUGUGUGUGUGUGUGUGUGUUCCUAACAGUUAAAGAUAACGAGGUCAUGAAUCUGAGAGGGAGAGAGGGGGUGGUGUCUGAGAGGGGUUGGAAAGAGAAAGGGGAAGCAAGGAAAUGAUGUCAUUAUCUUUUCAUUUCAAAAAAUAAAAAUUCAUUUAAAAAAUAGAAGAUACUUCAGGAGCUGGAAAAAAAUGGUUCAGCAAUUAAGAGUACUACUUGUUACUUUUGCAGAGAACCCAGAUUUAGUUCUCAGCAUCCAUCCACAUGCUGGCUAACAACCACCUGCCACUCCAGUCCCAGAAGACCUAACGAUCUUUUCUGACUUCUGUGGGCACUGCAUGCACACUUGGCACAGGCUUUCAUGCAAACAAGAUAGCCAUAGAUGAAACAAAACAAAAAGGAGAGUCCGGGAAUUUGAGUCUUACAGUGGAAGAUUACACAUCUUGUAGCUGCUCCAUGCUCAAGCCUGAAAGUUCCUUGUGAUUAAGAGCUCAUCAGACUCACAUGACCAGGGAUAAAGGAGAUGUAGGCCAUUAGGUGAAAGAGAGAGGUGGAGGGGCAACUCUCAUCCCUCUGGCUGGUACCACCAGCUCCUUCAGUUCAAACCUCCAGACCCUGUGCGACUGGAUCCUCUCUUCUUCUUGGUUAGUUCAUCUUGGAGUUUCACCCCUAGUUUAUUUCCAGCUCCCCUCGGAGAAAAUGAAACAAAUCUAAAAAAAAAUCCAAUUAAAGUAUGGGCUGUAGAUCUGAACAGAGUAAUCAGAAGAAGAAAUAGAAAUGACCAAGAAAUAUCUCCAAAGGUGUUCAUCGUCCUUAGAAAUUAGUGAAACACUAAAACUACUUUGAGAUUUCAUCUUAUCGCAGUCAAAAUGGCUAAGAUCAACAAAAUGUUGACAAAAAAAAAUGCUGGCAAUGAUUUGGGAAAGAGAAACCUUCAUUCAUUGCUGGUGGGAUUUCAAACAGGAGCAGACACUCUGGAAAUCAGUGUGGAGAAUACUCAAAAAGCGAAAAAUAAACCUUCCAUAUGACCCAGAUCUACCACUCCUCAGCACAUGCUCCAAGGACUCAACAUCGUACUCCAUAGAUACUUGCUAAUGUUCACAGCUGCUCUAUUCACAAUUGCUAGGAAAUGGAAACAACCUAAAUGUCCUUCAGGCUGAUGAAUGAAUAAUGAAAAUGUGAUGCAUUUACUCUAUGGGAUAUUAUUCAGCUGUGGAGAAAAAAAAAUGAAAUUUGAAAAUUAAUGGAUGGGCCUAGUAUAUAUUAUAUUAAGUGAAGCAACCCAAACCCAGGAAGACAAAUGCUGUGAGUUCUCACUCAUCAGUGAUUCCUGGUCCAAAUAUUCAGAUCUGAGUAUAUGACCUGCAGUAACCACAGAAGCCAGGAAAGGAAAAAUACUGUGGCUGGGGAGAGGCGAGUUCAAGAGAAGAGAACAGCAGGAUGGGUGAAGGGGGAAACUGGAAAGACAAGGGCACAAACUGGAGAUACAAAAGGAGGAGAAGGAAGAUAAAUAACAGUAAGGAAGUUUGAAAAGGAGAUGGGGGAUUAUUAUACAUUAUUAUAUUAUAUUGUUAUUUUAUAUUUACCGAAAAUAUAUACUACAUAUAAAUAUGCUAUAUACAUAAAAGAUCUCCUGCUGAGUCUGCUGAUUAGGAAGUCUGCCACAAAACUAUGUCUUCUAGACAUCACAUGGAAGCUAAACACCCAUGAAAUCUAGCAUGGCUGUCUAAAAAAGACCUAAACAAUCCCAACACCAGUUGACAUGCCCAUGGGGAUGGGGAACGUCUCAGGAGGCCCAUCUCUAGAUGAAGGCAAUUAAUCACUGCUGAGAGAGAGAGAAUCAGUCUUCUCUGGGGAUGAGCCCCCUAACUGCUUAUUCAAUAUCAAUACCAAGUGUUCCGCUCUAAAAACACGCACGUACAAAUAACACCACACAGGCUCAGCAGGUUGUGUUCGUUUGUAUAUUUAUUCCUUUGUGUGUCUGUAUGUGCAUGUAACAAUGAUAAUUUUAAACAGAUAUGAAAUUGAGAGAGAGUAGAGGGAGUGGUAGAGGAGCUAGAGGGAGAAGAAGGAGGGGGAAAUAAUACAUUUUAAGCAAAGACAAAAUGUAAAAGCAGCAAGCAUGACUGCUGUUUGAACAGCUCUACAGAAAGGCGGACUAUGUGAGAGAGGCUGUCGUCCUCACCAUCUGGAAUCACAUGUGUACUUCAGUUCUCCAUACCAACCCUGUCUCUCACUAGCCUGAGUACAGGGAAACAUCCAGAAAAGAUAAUCUGUUCCUUUCUGACUUGUGAACUGCUGCUCACUCUCCCUUCAGCUUCUGAUUCCCUAGAGGUAGGUGGGGGGAGGGAAUGCUGAAUCACACGCUUGUCUCUCCCCCUGCCACCCUGCAAAGAAACAUCUGGUUGCAAAUUUCUCAGGCUCUGUGCCCCAUCCCUUCUAGUCCAGCCCAGCCACACAGAUGUUCCUACCCCUUUGUUAUUCCAAAGAAGGCACAUACUCUUUCAUUCAAGCAUCUUGUUAUCUUCAUGUCUCUGUUAAUAGUGUUUUUUUUUUUUUUCUCUA